ensembl:lncRNA
AUUAUGUUUUUCAAAUCUGUGACUGUCAAAGCACCUCAUACUGAUUUUCAGGAGUUCAGUAAACAGACUGUCAAAAACAGGUAAAUGAUUUCAUUCUUAAAUUUAACUUUAAAAUUGUAACUGGUUUCCAAACAAACAUGUUCUUAUCUUUUUUUUUUUUUUUUUUGGUCACAUAUAAGUGUGUGCCGCUCUGCUAAGCUGUGGAAACUUCUCUCCUCUUCUCCACUAAGUAAGUAAAAGAGACCAUGAAUUUAUAAUUCACAUCCAGUCACAAAAAAUAUUAAAACUAUCCCACUAUCCCAUUACUUUAUAUCACUUUUUUCUUUUAAGAUUGUGAAGGACUCACAUAUUUUUUAUUCUUAUUUUGUGUUUUACUUCUUCAUGUAUUGAUUCGUGUUCACUGUCAACUGUCAUUCAUUAAUGUACAGUAUAAAGCUAAUAACUGUUGUUAAGAGCACUGACAAUUUUGCAUGUCAAUAAAAACAUACUUAAUUCACACAACAUGCUGCUGUUGUGGUUAUUGUUGUUGUUUUAAUGUAAAACCCUAACCAAGGGUACACUCUAAGAUGCCUCAUUAAUGAUUUUAUGGAGCUCAGCCAUCCAACUACACAGACUAUCAACACACUCUCAAUAGGUAAAUCAUUUCUUUCUUAAAAUGUCUAUAAAUUAUAACUUUCAAAUGCUAAUUGGUUUCCUUUGUCUUUUCUCUGUUUAGUUUUAGAGAACAUGUAAGUGUGAUAGCUGUAUUCAGUUAAGGAUACUCUCAUCUUCUUCACUACAUGCUGUUACAUCCUACAACCUCAUCAUCUGCAGGGAGAAACUGCCAUUCAAUCACAACAAAAUACAGAUAAUGAUGAACUUAAAGGCAUCAUAGAGGAUUGUGAAGAUAUUUCACUGGAGCUUGGUCUUCAAUACACUAUUUUAUGUUAUAUUUUGUUUUACUUCUUUAAGCAUUUAUUUAUGUUCAGUGUCCAUUGUCAUUCAUUAAUGUAUUCUGCUAAUAACUGUUAGAAUAACUGGCAUUUUUGCUACAACUUCAUGUCAUAAAAAGUACCUAAUUGACACGUUGUUGUUGAUUUUAUGUAAAAACCCUAAUAGACACAACAAGAUAUUAUAAGACCAGGAAGAUAGAGGGGUAAAAACAAUAUUAAUAAAUAAUAUAUACAAAUAAUACUAAUAUUAAAG